rnacentral:rRNA from 1 species
CGAACGGGUGAGUAACGCGUGAGUAACCUGCCCUGGAGUGGGGGGACGAACAGUUGGAAACGACUGCUAAUACCGCAUAAGCCCACGGAUCCGCAUGGAUCUGCGGGAAAAGGAUCUAUUCGCUUCAGGAUGGACUCGCGUCCAAUUAGCUAGUUGGUGAGGUAACGGCCCACCAAGGCGACGAUUGGUAGCCGGACUGAGAGGUUGAACGGCCACAUUGGGACUGAGACACGGCCCAGACUCCUACGGGAGGCAGCAUG